rfam:Burkholderiales bacterium RIFCSPLOWO2_12_FTLL_65_40 rifcsplowo2_12_scaffold_225, whole genome shotgun sequence.
CUCCUCGUAGUUCAAUGGAUAGAACGAGUGCCUCCUAAGCGCUAGAUACAGGUUCGAUUCCUGUCGAGGGGA